ACCGGCCCGGNCUCUACGGGAGGCAGCAGUGGGGAAUNUUGGACAAUGGGGCACCGUGAUCCAGCCAUGCCGCGUGAGUGAUGAAGCUUAGGGUCGUAAGCUCUUUCGCCUGUGAGAGAUAAUGACGGUAGCAGGUAGGAGAAACCCGGCUAAUUCCGUGCCAGCAGCCGCGGUAAUACGAGGGGGUUAGCGUUGUUCGGAAUUACUGGGCGUAAAGCGCACGUAGGCGGAUGGGAAAGUUGGGGGUGAAAUCCCGGGGCUCAACCCCGGAGCUGCCUCCAAAACUAUCGGUCUAAAGUUCGANAGAGGUAAGUGGAAUUCCGAGUGUAGAGGUGAAAUUCGUAGAUAUUNGGAGGAACNCCAGUGGCGAAGGCGGCUCACUGGCUCGAUACUGACGCUNCGGUGCGGAAAGUGUGGGAGCAANCAGGAUUAGAUACCCNGGUAGUCCACNCCGUAAAGCGAGGAAUGCCAGUCGUCGGGUAGCAGUGCUAUUGCGGUGACGCGCCUA
rnacentral:rRNA from 1 species